rnacentral:rRNA from 1 species
AGGAUGAACGCUGGCGGUCUGCUUAACACAUGCAAGUCGAACGGAGUACCUCGGUACUUAGUGGCGGACGGGUGAGUAACGCGUGAGAAUCUGCCCUUAGGUCGGGACAACCAUUGGAAACGAUGGCUAAAUACCGGAUAAGCCGAGAGGUAAAAGAUUAAUUGCCUAGGGAAGAGCUCGCGUCUGAUUAGCUAGUUGGUGAGGUAAAGGCUCACCAAGGCAUCGAUCAGUAGCUGGUCUGAGAGGAUGAUCAGCCACACUGGGACUGAGACACGGCCCAGACUCCUACGGGAGGCAGCAGUGGGGAAUUUUCCGCAAUGGGCGAAAGCCUGACGGAGCAAGACCGCGUGGGGGAAGAAGGCUCUUGGGUUGUAAACCCCUUUUCUCUGGGAAGAACGCAAUGACGGUACCAGAGGAAUCAGCAUCGGCUAACGUCCGUGCCAGCAGCCGC